rnacentral:lncRNA from 1 species
UUUCUCCAUCCUAGUAAUCAAAUUUGAGCAAAAUCAAAUGGGGCUUUCUAUGAAAGUACCUUUUGUUGAUCUGAACGAGCUGGUAAUUUACAAAAUACCCUUCCUUUGUGAGGAAGGCUAAAGAAAAAAAGAAUCAGUAGCUUUUAAAGCUGGGCCUUAGUGGGACUCUAAAUGCAAUGAAAGCAGUCUGUGUUGAGAGACUGAAAUGCAUUUCAAAGCCAGGCCUGAUUCGGGGUACAAGGAAGAACAGACCUAUGUGCAUUUUGUAGGAAGAAAACUGUGAAUGGAAAAAGGAGAAGGGGAGAGAAACGGGGGAAAUCUGGAUAAUACAUUAAAGUAACCAUAAUUUUGGAGAUGCAUUCAUCUUAUUGAAAAUAUAUUUCCUCAUGGUUGUGAUUCCUCUUCACUCUUUUGAAUUUGGAAGGAUGGCAUACACAUCUGAAAAAUACCACUACUUCCUUCAUUGGACUGCAAGGUAUUUCUGUUUGGAAAAGUAAUGGAGUCCAGUCAACUUCAUUGAUCGCCAAGGACUGUCAAAAUUAUAAAACUUGCUGUGGAGCUCUGACAUGCCAGAAGCCGCUAGAAAAAGAAGUUUGACAUUCAGAAACUUAUCAAGAGGUUCUACUCUUUGGAUAGAGACCAAAAUCAUACUUUGAAAAAGCCUGACAGGUUUCUUCGGAAAAGUGGCCAUCCAUGGAAUGAAUGAAAUGUUCUCUUUCUAUUCCAUGCAAUGGAAACUUCAGCUAUCUGUGGUCUAGUCUGAACUGUACCUGGGGUAGUGACAAUGGCCUUCUGACCCUAUGGCUCUUCCUGACUGUGGAUAGAAUUGAUAGCACUUUUUCAAUUUCUCCCUUGUCUUUGCUUGAACAUACUGGAAUUACAACCUCUGACAAAGGGGAUUGCAGUGGCAAAGCUAGGCUAGGUCUUGGAGGCUGGUGUAAGGCGAUGUGGGUGAAGGCAGGAGGCUGAUGGAAAGACUGGGGGGAAGAAAAGCCGAAAUGGAUUCACGGUGCCUUGGAUGAAGGACGAGAGGGGAACUGCAAGCUCCUUCAACUGGUUCUGUCCGGUGAGAAGUGAUCAAGCUUGGGCUGACAAGAGGCUCAGGGAGCCCUCACGUUCUUUCGCUUUUUUACCUGCCAAUCAAACUGCUACAAGACAACACCCUGAUCUGGCAUGGACAUCGCGGGUCCAAGCCUGUAGCCCCAAAUCGGAUAAUCUCUGCAGCUGAUAACAAGCAAAAGAGAAGCCAGGCAACAGCCAUAUUAAAGAAGAAAACAAUCAACUCUGAGGCGGAGUCUCGCUCUGUUGCCUAGGCUGGAGUGCAGUGGCACAAUCUUGGCUCACCACAACCUCCACCUCCCAAGUUCAAGGGAUUCUCCUGCCUCAGGCUCCUGAGUAGCUGAGAUGACAAGCUCCCACCACCAUGCUCAGCUAAUUUAUCCAACUUAGAAAUAAUGUUUCAUUCAAGAUAAGGCUCGUGGCUUAGGAGAUUGUGACCUGGCUUGCAUCAUUCUAAGACUUCUAUCGUCUGUUUUCAAAACCCAAGGAGGACCUCCUUUUCUGUGUGAUAGUUCCUCAUGCUUUGCCAGCCACUGGGUCUUUAAGGAAGCUUGCCAAGAGUUCCCGGCUGGGAAGGACAGUUCGAGUUCAUCAUAGACAAUGAGCUGGCACCACAGUUUAAGUGACUCACCAACCUGGUUGCCCACUUCAAAAUGUCAAGAACCACACUAUCUAAUUGAAAGAACUGUGUUUUAGCAAAGUGUAAUUGGAUCGCCUGGCAAGAUCAUCUCAAACUAUGUCUCUGACCUUGCCUUUCAGUGGCUAUUUUGAGCACAAGAGGAGAAAGGAAAUGAUUCCUGAAUUAUAUCUUGUUUUUAAAAAUUAAGAUUAAUUAAUACUUGGUUUUAUGUUCAUUCCAUUGUAGGAACUUAGUGAUUAUUACAAAACAGUCAAAAUAGGUCAUAGCAAAAUGAACGUUUAAGAUUAGGUUAAAACAUUCCUCUGAAAUUUUAGUAUUCACUUUUGAAGUGUCAAUUACUAUAUUUCUGUAAUUUCUCAUUUUUUUCUUGGCUUAGAGUCAAGAUGAAAAAUGAUAUUUGAAUCAAAGACAUUGUUUUGUUAUAUAGCCACUCCUUUCUAAAAUGCAAAUCCACCCUCCCCUCACCAAUGCUUUAUUCUUUGUGCGCGCACACACACACACACACACACACACACACACACACACACACAGACAUACACAGAACCAGCACCCAAAUGGUAGAGGAGGUCCUUCCAAGACUUCUAGGACCUGGAUCAUGUAAGCAGUAGAUGAGAAAAUGAAGUAAGAGAUAUAGAGUAAUAACAAUAAAAGUCAAUGAUUUCAUUUUACAAAAAAGUCAUUGUGUAGUACUCAGAUAUUUUUAAGAGCAAGUAUUAUUAUGACUAAAGUAUAUUAUACUUCUAAAUUAUUAUGAUUCUCAUCUAAUUUCAAGCCACACAUAGGCGCCAUUUGAAAGCAUUUUGUGUUACAACCUAUCAACAAAAAUCAACUAAUAGUUUUAUAACGUGCAUAGGUUUACCCCAUGGGGAAUUAAAAUUUUUAUCUGCAAGUAUUUCUGUUGUUGUGAGACUUUAGGACAAGACAACAUUUGGUGUUAACAUAGAAGAAUAUUCUAUGGCUUUUUUAGCUUUAAAGUUCAUUACUCUAAAAUAAAGUACACGUGGUAUUUUUUUCUUCCUAGUGUUCUCUUAUUAUAUGUAGAGUAUUUUCGGUUGUUGUUUUUAACGUAUACAUUAUUUUUAUUAAGUCAUUUCAUAAAAGAUAAGAUAUAUACUAAUAGACCCUUGGUUUUCUCCUAAUUUAAUUAUUUCAAGUCAAGCAAAAUUGGGCAAUUUUCUUUCAGGAAAAAAAAAAUAUUGAGCAUGAUUUUGAGGUAAAACUGAUUAUUUACAGCAUCUUUUCUCUAAUAGGCUAACAUUUAUGAUGGAUCUUAUUUCAAAGUUGAUUAUUCUCAAAGAAAAGUGGAGAUAUUAGAAUUUCCGAGUAAAUUGCAUUGUUUUAAAAAGUACUUUAAUGCAUUGUUCACAUUGUUGCCAGCUAUUGACCAAAAAAGAGAAGAAGAAAAAAGAAAUAAAAAAAGCAGUAUCUGCUCCAAACGUCAAGUUUUGCAGUUUGAAAGACUUGUACAUUAUAAUUGUUUUUUUCUUUUUUGGAAAGCAGUAGUAAUUAAUACCAAAGGCAUAGACAAUUUAGGGCCAUAACCUCCCUUCCCCCCUCUCCACCUUUUUUUUUUUUUUUUUUUUUUUUUAACUUUAACCAUGAUAGGCAUCUCUGCAAGGUAGGUUUUAACAUAUUUUUUUCCUAAUUUUUUUCCCUCCAUUCAGUAAGAAGGAUAAGCUUUUAGAGUACCCAGUCACCGUGGUAACUGCCAAAAAAAUUCUCCUGAAGUUUGAAGAGGUCAGCUAGCAGGGUCAACAACCCUGGCCUCUCUCUGAGCUCGGUCUAGCAUGCCCCAGCCUGCGGUUGGAGUGUCAGGCCAGAUCUGACCCUGGGAGGUGGACCAUUCUGGCUCUGAUAUAAAUUUUUCGAGUCAGUUCAUGGCCUGGACUCUCCAGGUGGCCUCCAAAAUCGAUUUUGACCCCCUGACCCUGUCUCACGGAGGCAUAGCAUCCACCCUAAGUAAGGAUUUAGCCAGGAAUGACAGCUUUCCACUGAGUGUUAUUGGGGACAGUAUAAACAGUUUGGAAAGCAAGUAAGGAGGUGUGAGGGCUAGCAAUCAUUAAAAGCACAUUAAAAAACAAUUUUUAAAAAUCUUUAUUAGAGAAAGUUGUAAAUGCAUAUCUGUUACAGAAUUCCUGUGAUUUGUAGAGUUUUCUAGUCAGUUUUGAAUAUAAAUAGGUCACAUAUCUUUAUCUUUUUGCAUACUUUGUUACAAAUAUGCAAAUAAGAUAGGCAUACUUGCUACAAAAUAGGUACAGCAGGAAUGUAAUAUGUUCAGAAAAGGCAAACUGGUUAUUAAAACACAUUAACAGGUAAGGAGUUUCUAAUAUUUUAAAUACUAAAAUUUUACAUGUGUAUUUUGAAGUUUUUAAAAUGGAAAAAUAAAGAACCUUUAAAAAACCCAACAGUGUGGAAUAAAGAUAAACUUGUUGCACUCAAGGUACAUUUCUACUUUGUAAAGCAAGAAGCCAAUACACUCAGUUGGAUAAAAAUGAGAGAAAAAUUGUAAAUAUAGAGAGUUACAGCUUAUAGAGCUGAAGAGGAAUAAAACAAAAAAAAGUGUCUCUGAAUAACUUUAUGUAUUUUCAACAGUUUAAGAUAUCAGAAACUUGGAAAAUAAAUAUGAUAUAUAUAUAAAUCAUCA